AUCAAACUGACGUGUCCCAAAUAGGGUGAAACGUGCGUCCUGGGU
rfam:Schistosoma haematobium scaffold270_30, whole genome shotgun sequence.